GAUGAACGCUGGCGGUAUGCUUAACACAUGCAAGUCGAACGGACUCUUCGGAGUUAGUGGCGGACGGGUGGGUAACGCGUGGGAAUCUGGCUUUGGGUUCGGGACAACCACUGGAAACGGUGGCUAAUACCGGAUGUGCCGAGAGGUAAAAGAGAAAUUGCCUGAAGAUGAGCUCGCGUCUGAUUAGCUAGUUGGUGAGGUAAAGGCUCACCAAGGCAGCGAUCAGUAGCUGGUCUGAGAGGAUGACCAGCCACACUGGGAAUGAGACACGGCCCAGACGCCUACGGGAGGCAGCAGUGGGGAAUUUUCCGCAAUGGGCGAAAGCCUGACGGAGCAAUACCGCGUGAGGGAAGCAGGCUCCUGGGAUGUAAACCUCUUUUCUUAGGGAAGAACAAAAUGACGGUACCUAAGGAAUCAGCAUCGGCUAACUCCGUG
rnacentral:rRNA from 1 species